AGCGCAGGUGGUUUAUUAAGUCUGGUGUAAAAGGCAGUGGCUCAACCAUUGUAUGCAUUGGAAACUGGUAGACUUGAGUGCAGGAGAGGAGAGUGGAAUUCCAUGUGUAGCGGUGAAAGGCGUAGAUAUAUGGAGGAACACCGGUGGCGAAAGCGGCUCUCUGGCCUGUAACUGACACUGAGGCUCGAAAGCGUGGGGAGCAAACA
rnacentral:rRNA from 1 species